GGCCCAGAACGGAACGAGUUCUUCUUGGACAGCAAGUCCGGCAACCCCCUCCGGUGGGGGCCAUAAUAAGAGCGAACGCAAGCCGAAGCCAACCAAACCCAAACCACAAUCCUUCCAAUCCCCUUCCUCGGCGAUCGCCUCCGGUGCUUCCGACCUCCUCCCGUCGCCUCCGCCGAGCUCGAAUCCGUCCCCUCCUCCGCCCGUCCUAGACUAGCUCCAAUGGGUUUCGUCCAGAGCACCUUCUCGCUCCUGGUCGGCGCGGCGGGCGGCAUCUACAUCGCCCAGAACUACGACGUCCCCAACAUCAAGAACUACAUGCAGGGCCUGAUGGGCAAGGCCAAGGAGCUGGACCAUGCCUACAAGAAGCCCGAGGAUGGCAGCAAGAACAAGGCUUAGUCAGCCCGCUCCCCCACCCAAUCCAUCCAUGAGAGCAUGACCGACCGCUUAGCAUGCUAAUUGUUAUUACUAUCACUUAGUAGGUUCACUAUAUAUGAUUUGAGCAAUGACUCUGUCCUCUCCGUCUUAAGACUCUGUCCUGGGGAUGAAAAUAGUUGAUGAUGGCGGCACGUUUGUGAAUGAACCAAUGAAUGGAUGAAAGACCUGUUAGACUGCGUGAUUCA